UUGUGAAGUCCUCGAAAACAGUGGAAUCGUUGUUUUUAAUGUUUUCUGGCAAUAACUUUGCUGGAAAUUAUUCAGCUUUCACCGGAACUUACCUGUCUAAAAAUUCUUUUCCCGACUAAUUUUCUUCCAUAUUCUAACUGUGUAUGGGUGUGUUCUGUGAUUUGUGAGUACACAGUCAGUGUGCAGUGUGUGUAGAAGAUGAGUACAUGCUUAUGUCAUGACUGAAAAUUAAAGGACAGUGAUCUGAUAUAUAAACAUGGGUACGGAUAAUUUUUAUUUUUUUAUUUUUUGUGACAGUAUGUGUAAAAUAUGUUUUGAAGUAAAUGUGAAAAUUCUAUGCGUGGAUUGCAUGUUUUUCUUUGUUUUUUCACUAGUUUUACAGUUCCUCCUUUCUAAUGCAUCUUAUAAUGUAAGAGAGAAAUUUUUGAAAGAAUGUUUAUAUAUUUUCAAUUACUAUUUUCGAAAGUAAAAUUAUAUCAUCAUACAUUUUUGCUACAAGGUAUCAUGCAUAAAAUCAUACCAUUAUGUAUAUUUAUACACAAAUAGCAUCUUGAAUACUUUAUUCAUACUUUGAUUCCUAAUAAAAUUUAUACAAUAAAUAACGUAGAAUUUAAAAGAAACUUGAGUGAUGAAUUAAGCAGAAAACUCGAAUAUUAUCGUUGGAAACUCGAACGAAACUCCAAUUCAACUUCACUUUUCUUACUUUUUUUUUAUUUUUGCUUUUUUCAGUGUCUAAUCUUGCUCUGGUAUUUUCUGUAUCUGAUAGUGAUGAUAGUGUCCGUCCUUUUUGGGGUAGGUGAGUGUCCUUAAAUACAUGGAUUUGGGGGGAACAAUAUCUUUUUCUGGGGGAGUAGUUUAUCAACAGAUAAGGGAAGAGGAUAUUUUAAAUUUUGAAAUAUAAUAAUAAGUAAUUUUUUAUUUUCUUUCUUUUUAAAUAGAAUACAUAAUAAUAAAAUAAUAAAAUAAUAAUAAUAAUAAAUAUAAUAAUAACUAAUUAAAUUAUGUUUAAUAAAAAUACAAUAAAAUUUAUAAAUAGUCAAAAUAAAUAAAAUAAUAUUAAAACUACUAAUUUGUUUAUUAAAAUGUUAGAAAAGAAAAUAUUUUUAAUUUUUUUAUAUUAUUUUUUAAAUUAGAAUAAAAAUAUAAACAAAAUAUAUCAAAAUUAACUUUAUUUAAUUAUUUACUUUUUAACUUAAAACUUAAACUGAAAUAAGAAUUCAAAUAAUAUCGGACCAAAUAUAAAUAUUUAAUAUUGAAAAAUAUAUAUAUUAAACUCGGGGAGGUUCAAAAUCACGUGUCUACAUUUUGCCCUCUUUGUUUGAAAUCUCGAAGAGUUUUCAUACAAAGACGUAGAAAAAGAGAUGAUUUUUGACCCUCCGAUUAUUCUAAAAGUGAAGAUAAAACACAAUAAAAUAAACUAAAAGACGUGAUCGAGUCCUGGUUUUAGAUCGCCUACAUAUCCCAGGUUAUAAGGGAAUCAGGUCACUUGUAGUUCGAUAAAAAAAAUAAGAGAAAGAGAUAGAAUUCGAGUGAGAUUCCGUCGAGUUUUCGAUUAACGAUUUCUGCCUUUUACAUUAAAUGACUAACAACAAUAAAAAAAUGAAAAAUACAAGUGAAAAUUGCAAUCAAUAGAAUCUUAAUUCUAAUCUUCGUGACUUGAAUUUGAAAAUCCACCCUAUUCUUCAAGCGGACUCCUGGGUUGCUUUUCCUUCGCCCUGUUCUUCAGGCGGGCUCCAAGACUUCAUUUUUUCUUCAUCCUGUUCUUCAGGCGGGCUCCCGAACUUACAAUUUCUUCACCCUGUUCUUCAGGCGGGUUCCUGGACUUACAAUUUCUUUACCCUGUUCUUCAGGUGGGCUCCUGGACUUUCUCUUUUCUUCACCCUUUUCUUAAGGCAGGCUCACGGACUUACAAUUUCUUCACCCUGUUCUUCAGGUGGGCUCCUGGACUUACAACUUUUUUACCUUAUUCUUCAUGCGAGCUCCUAGACUUACAAUUUCUUCACCCUGUUCUUCAGGCGGGCUCCUGGAAUUACUCUUUCUUCACCCUGUUCUUCAGGCGGGCUCUUGGAAUUACAAUUUCUUCACCCUGUUCUUCAGGCGGGCUCUUGGAAUUACAAUUUCUUCACCCUGUUCUUCAGGCGGGCUCCUGAACUUGAAAUUUCGUUACCUUGGUCUUCAAGCGGGCUCCUGGACUUACAACUUUUUCACCGUGUUCUUCAGGCGGGCUACUAGGCUUACAAUUUCUUCUCCCUGUUCUUCAGGCGGGCUUCUGGACUUACAAUUUCUUUACCCUGUUCUUCAGGCGGGCUCCUGGACUUGCAUUUCUUCACCCUGUUCUUCAGGUGGGCUCCUGUAAUUACUUUUUCUUCACCCUGUUCUUCAGGUGGGCUCCUGGAAUUAUAAUUUCUUCACCCUGUUCUUCAGGCGGACUCCUGGACUUGUAAUUUCUUCACCCUGUUCUUCAGGCGGACUCCUGGACUUGUAAUUUCUUCACCCUGUUCUUCAGGCAGGCUCCUGGACUUGCAAUUUCUUUACCCUGUUCCUCAGGCGGGCUCCUGGAAUUACUUUUUCUUUACCUUUUUCUUCAGGCGAGCUUCUGAACUUAUAACUUUUUCACCCUGUUCUUUAGGCGGGCUCCUAGACUUAUAAUUUUUUCACCCUAUUCUUCAGGCGGGUUCCUGAACUUCCUUUUUCUUCUCCCUGUUCUUCAGGCGGGCUCCUAGACAAAAAGUAAAUUCCCAUGCAACACACAUAAAACUUUCCUUACUUGCCUCAGUUUGUUCCAGGAAAUUUUGUACAUAUCACUCGAUCAUAAUCGAGAUCUAGCAUCGGGUGUUAUAACCAUGCUCCUUGCAUUGACAGAAGUGUAAUAUUGCAUCUUUUAUUUGAAAAUUUUAAUGUGAAAUCAAUAUCUCAUCCCUGUUUCAAACAAAAAAAAAUUGUGAGUUUUAAAACAUGUGAUGGUUAGUUUGUGGCAUUUGGUUUUUGAAGUGACCGCUCUUGUACUUGCCAUACAGAACUCCUUUUCAAAUCCUUGAUAAAUAUUUGUUGACUUGUCCUACUUCUGACCUCAAAUUCUGACUACUGAGAUUCUCAAUUCAAAACAUAUUUCUCUUGUAUGAAGUCUCUGGGUUUAACUUGCAAUGCACCUUUUAUUUUUCUACGAGUCAAAAAUUGUCAGGUCACAAUCAUUCAGAGUACUUUAUUAUCCUUUGAAAUAUUAUCCUUGUGCGUCGACCCUUUUGUCUUGCUUUGUAUCAUUAAAGAAUUUGGUAGCAAGUUUGGAGUCCUUUCUCACUUAACCUGACGUGAAUUUGACUAAAAAAAUCCACAAAAUAUAACAAAAAAUUCAUUUGAUGACAAGGACACAAGAAAUCAAAAAUCAAAAUAAGACAAAAAAAGAAAAAGAAAAAGACAAUAGGCAUCUCUUUUUCAAAACAAUAGGAAAACUUAUCUAGAUGUGGAAACUGAUUCUAGUGAUUAUGACAUGCAUUUUGAAUCAAACAACCAGAUCUACCCACACUAAUUAUUACAACUUUUUUCCACUUAUUGAACUUUAAAUUAAGUCAAUCUUGAACUUGUUCCUUCUGGAUAACAAACCUCCUUCGGCUAGUGGUACCUCAAUGGGUUUUUGCCAACGAGUCUAUCUUAUUUUCAUUUCUUUCUCAGCUCACAGUUGUCAUAUGGUGCCCAAAAGGGUUUUCACCAAUAAGACUCUCUCAUUUUCAUUCACUUUUUCUUUUAAGCAAACACCCAAAAUAUAAAUAUCAUGCACCCAUAGCAUGUUUAGCCUUGAUAUUCUCAAAGAUUGAUCUGUAGGUCUUUCUUUGGUUGUAACUUGGCUUUUAGACUGGGUUAGAAAGAAAGGUCGACGUGAAGCUCAAAAUUUAUACAACAUUGGGUAGAACAUACAACUUUUAGAAUCGACUCUUUUUAAGAAAAUAAAAUUUUGCCCUAGUUUUAUUUUAUUCUGGGUAAUUUAAAUUUUCUUUUGGUUGGACCGAACCCUAGAAUAGGGCUGCCUACGUAUCUUGUCAUAGCAAGAAUCAGGUCAAACGUAGCUCAGGAAUCUUGUUCUUUUGCUUGAUUUUCUUUUUUUUUUUUUCUUUUUCUUGACGUUUCUUUUUUUCUUUUAUGUUUCUUUUUCUUUUUUGAGAGAGAGAGAGAGAGAUUUUUCCCAACUUCAUUUUUUCUUGAUACUUUUCUGAAUCUAUUCUUUUCCUAGGCACUUUUCUUUUUCUUUUUUUUGAUUCUUUUUCAGACUCUAUUUUGAUUCCAAAAGAGGUGUACGAAAGAAAAUAACACUAAAGCUCAAAAGGAAUAACAAAGGAUGACACAACAUUUGGGUAGCAGAAUGAAAUGCAUUCUUCAUAUCAAUCCUUAAAAACGGAAGAACAUAACAUGCAAUCUGAGGGUGAAGCAUGAGAUCAUACAUAUCUUUUCAACAUUGACCUUCACUAAGAAUGUGUACAGGUGUCACUUCUGUCAUGCUUAUGAAACAUACAAGUCCACUUGUGUUGUACUUUCUCCACACGAAUGACUCAUGUCUCUUUGGGAGCUAACUUUCUUUCAUUUUUCCUGACUGUGGAGAUUAUAUAUCCUCUGAUUUAUCCCAUGCUUGAAUUAAAUGUUCUAAUUGAUGAUCAAGUCAUUUUUUAUUUACAAAGCGAUUGCUCCAAUUUCAUCUAUAUUAUGAUUUGACUUAUUCUCAAACUGUUUGAAAUGUUUUGCUUAUAUUCUCUAAUAUUUCCUCUUCAUCAUAUUCAACCUCUUUAUUCAUUAUUUCAUAAUUAGACUGGGUUUUAAAAUCUGAUUGAUAAUUCUUCAUACAUGUCAUAUCAUUAGAAUCGGCAUAGAAAGAGCUGUAUAAUAGAAAAUAUAUAAGUAAAUAUUAGACACAAAAUAAAAUAAAGGGAAAUUAUGUUUCAUUAAAAAAAAAUAAAGAUAGACAAUGUUUUAACCUAAAAUACCAAGGUAAAAUCUGAAUUACAACCCUAGAACGAUUCAAAUUGCAGAAAGACAAACAAACAAACUACCAAGACUCCUUCAUAGUAGGGAGAGGAGUGACCUCCCAAUUGUUAAGCUUGACAUCUUAGCCACUGGUUUGCUUAUCAGCAUGACUAGAACUUUCACCACUGUCCAACAUAUUUUCUUCAACAAAUAAAUUUUGGAUCCCCAUGCUUAACUCAUUGUUUCCCACGUAUUGUGCAUUACCAUCUGUUGAUGAAGGAUUCCGUGUGACGCUCACGUAUUGUGCAUUACCAUCUGUUGAUGAAGGAUUCCGUGUGACGCUCGUAGUGUCAAUGUUUUGCACUACAAUCAAUUUUUCUUGAAUCAUCCUUUCUAUUUCUCUUUUCAAAGCACGACAAUCCUCAAUAUUGUGAUCCUGAAUAUCAGAAUGAUAUGCACAUCGUACAUGAGGAUCAAAAUUUCUUGAAUGUGGAUCAGGAGUACACUCAAGGAGAGGAGUGAUUAUGUCCAACUUUCUCUAUCUCUGGAAUAAACUGGCAUACGAAUCCUCAAUUGGUGUAAAAUUAUUCUUUGACUUUCUCCUCUUUGCAAACUCUGGACUCGAUUGAAACUUGGACUUAGAAGUUCGUUGAUAAAUAUAUGGGGGUCCAGGACGAUGUUGAGUAACCAGUGCAUGCCAUUGCGGAUAAGAAAAUGAAUGAGCAUACAACUGUGCAUUGUUCAAAGGAUAUUGAGGAAGUGGAACGAAAUAUCUUGGAUUGUACAAAGAGGAACCUUGUUGCAUGUGAGCAUAUGAAUUUGAUGUACAAAAUCGGGAUUGAAACUGACAAUAUUGCUGAGUUGGACCUCUUGAGCUCUGUUUUGCCCCUGUAACGACAAUAGGUACAUUUUCCUUUUUCUUCCUUUCUGUCCCUCUCAAUUGAGGGAAAUAUCAUCCUAAGUAUUUUACAGAAUCCUCGUACCCAUCAUGUUUCUCAAAUUUCAAUAUCUCAAGGCUUGGAGGAAGUUUAACACUUGAAGAUAUGUCCCCGUCUUUAUAUGCAACAUCUUCAUAAUUUGCAAUUCCCUAAGAAUUUUUCAUAGCCUUUUCUGUGCUCUUUAUUUUUCUAGCCAUCUUCUCUUGCUCUUUUGUCAUGUCAGACUUCUUAGUAAGAAAUUUUGGUGGUCCAACUAACAUAGAUGUGGGCCCAGGAGUAUAAUAGUGAUCAUUAAGAGUGUUGAAUAUUGACUUACUAGCAGAUUGAGGAGGCACAAUCGCCGGAUCAAAAGCUAAGGUGGAAACCUUAGUAGAGGGUGGAGUAACAGAAGCAGAGACUAUAGGUGGUGCUAUCGAUGUGCUAGAUUUAUACUGAAGAUCUAGAGAAUGAGUGAUUGAAACAUUGAUAUUUUUUUGGCUUGGAAUAAAUUCUGGGCAUGUUGUGGCGCAUAACCAACAGUAGAAAAUUGACUUUGCAAUUUUGGUGAAAAACUCAAGGUAUUUGUAGGGUCAAUGGUGGAAAAUGGCGGAGGAGGCAUCCCAAUGGACCAUGCUCGAUACAUUUCCAACAUUUGUUGCCUCAAACUCACAAUCUCUUCUUUUAACCUCUCAUUUUCCUGACUCUUUGUCUGAUCCAUGAUUUCACUUUCUAUAUUCUUGCUGGACAUGACUCUUUUUCUUGAAUUUGGUGUAAUAUGAGGGACCAGCCAAAAUACCACAAAUCAGCUACCUUAAAUUAAUUGUUUAAGAAAUAACAAAGGAGUCAGAAUACAAUAUUUUUUCAAAAACUCUUUUUCUUUUAUCUUCUUUUUGAAAAGAUCACCGAACCCCAGAAGGGAUGCCUACGUAUCUCACUAAGAUGAGAAUCAGGUGUGCAUAGUUCUCGAAAUGUAUGUUGUACGAAACUAAGCCUCAAGACCCCUAAAGGUUCGCAACUGCUAAGAUUUAUAUAUUUUUUAUUUUGUAAAAACUUAGUCUCAUGAUCCCUAAAGAUUCAGGGCUGUUAAGAUUUAUAUAUUUUUAUUUAUUUUGUAAAAACUUAGCCUUAUGAUCCCUAAAGAUUCAGGGCUAUUAAUAUACAUAUAUAAAAAUUGGACCUGAGAAUUAGAAUAAAAAUUAUGAAAGUAAUCAUAUUUUCAAAAUAUUCCCCAAUAAAUCUAUGAAUAAUUUUUCAAAAGAUAGGGUCGUAUCCUGAGAAGGACUUCCUACAUAUCCCACUAAAGAGUGAGAAUCAGACCCUCGUAGUUCAUNNNNNNNNNNNNNNNNNNNNNNNNNNNNNNNNNNNNNNUUUUUUUUUUAAAUGAUUCACUAAAUGUGAGGAUAAUUUAAUCUCUUGUAUUUUAAAGUUGCCUAAAGUCGGUCAACAAAUAAAUAGCCUUCCAAAUAAAUGUCAAAGAGCACGUAGGAUGCACAUGUUGGUCUUUAUGAGGUAGGUCACCUGUCCUAGAUAGACCCGGCCCCUGUGUCGAGUCCCGCAAAGUCAAAUGCAUAUGAUACAAAUAAAGUGGCACCUAAUAGGGAUAACCAGAAGGGAUGAACCCCAGAAGGGAUGCCUACGUAUCUCACUAAGAUGAGAAUCAGGUGUGCAUAGUUCUCGAAAUGUAUGUUGUACGAAACUAAGCCUCAAGACCCCUAAAGGUUCGCAACUGCUAAGAUUUAUAUAUUUUUUAUUUUGUAAAAACUUAGUCUCAUGAUCCCUAAAGAUUCAGGGCUGUUAAGAUUUAUAUAUUUUUAUUUAUUUUGUAAAAACUUAGCCUUAUGAUCCCUAAAGAUUCAGGGCUAUUAAUAUACAUAUAUAAAAAUUGGACCUGAGAAUUAGAAUAAAAAUUAUGAAAGUAAUCAUAUUUUCAAAAUAUUCCCCAAUAAAUCUAUGAAUAAUUUUUCAAAAGAUAGGGUCGUAUCCUGAGAAGGACUUCCUACAUAUCCCACUAAAGAGUGAGAAUCAGACCCUCGUAGUUCAUAAAGAUCGUAAAACUAUGUAACUAAAAAUUUUUCUUUCUUUUAAUUUUUUUUUUUAAAUGAUUCACUAAAUGUGAGGAUAAUUUAAUCUCUUGUAUUUUAAAGUUGCCUAAAGUCGGUCAACAAAUAAAUAGCCUUCCAAAUAAAUGUCAAAGAGCACGUAGGAUGCACAUGUUGGUCUUUAUGAGGUAGGUCACCUGUCCUAGAUAGACCCGGCCCCUGUGUCGAGUCCCGCAAAGUCAAAUGCAUAUGAUACAAAUAAAGUGGCACCUAAUAGGGAUAACCAGAUUCUGAGUUUUCAGUUCUUCUAAAUUUAAGCCUAAUAGGGAUAGGUGUCUAGACUGGCUUACCCGAGCGGACACUCGAGCUAGGGAGGGACAACUUGAUCGAUAGCAGGGCAACACCGCCUUAGUUGCCAAUCUGAACCCCGCCUAACAUGUGUAACUAUAAUCCUUCACCGGGUGUCUUGACACUACGGCUAUCUCAAAAAGAAAGUAGGAUGCAUGCGCUGCAUUCCUUCUAUCCUAUUUCAAAAACUCAGAGGGGGUAUACAAGAGAAAACAGUAUAUAAUACAGUUCAAUCAAUAUCAAAGCGGUAAAUAAGCGACUAGUAGCACAUAAGGUCAACAAACACAAUACAACAAUAAUUAAAGCAAGUAUAAGUCAAUAUAAAAAACUCGAAUUCUUAUUAUUCCCCAGCAGAGUCGCCAGAGAUGUCACAACCUUUUUCGCUCGAAAGGAUAGAGUCGAAGGGUUUUUCUAAUUAAAGUGACGAUAUUGAAUAGGGAUUAGUUUAUUAAUAGAGUCGUCACUUGAAAUUGAGUUAUGGUGUUUCAAGUCACCUUAUUGAAUCUCUAGUCAAAAGGAAAUGACUCAUCAUUAUGGUCUGCGAAAACAAAAUAUCGGGUAAGGAAUUCUGUUGACCGAGGGGAAGGUGUGAGGCACCCCUCGAGUCCUGUGGUUCUAGUACGGUCGCUUUUAUUGACUUAUCUUAUCUAAAACUAUUUUAAUAAAUUAUGUUAAGGUUUAAAAUCGUUCAUAUUAUUAUACUAAAAUUAUUUAAAGCUCUUAUUUUUUAAUCGAUAAAAAAAAUUAAUUUUAGAAAAAUAUUUGUCAAAGUGUAUUUUUAUAUCCUUGAAUUUUAAAAUAUCUCAAAAAGAUAUGUACGCUACAUUCUUAAUUGAGACGAAUAUUUUAAAAGUGUUUAAAAUUUAUUUAAUGUUAAGAAUAUUUAUUUAUUUUUUGUAAAUUCAUAAUAAAUUAUUUGUUUUGAAAAAACUAGUUAACAAUAAUAAUAUUCCUAAAGUAUAUUUAAUUAAGAUAAUUAAUUAAUUUAAGAAAAUUAUUAUCAAGAUUCAUUAUUGAUAAGGAAAUAGUCAAAUAAUUAAUGAAAAUAUACAAACUAUAAAUAAUAAACUAUCAUAUCCAACUUACUUAUUAAAAAAAAAACUAACGAUUCCUUCCACCCAAACACUAUACAGUCAACCACUAAGCAGGAUACUUACAAGAAAUAUUUUUUAUUUAUUUAAACAACAAUAUACAUAUAUUAUCAUUACUUAACACUCUUUUUUUAAAAAAAAAGUAUAGAGAAGAAAAAAAAAACGUUGAUACUGAAACUGAUGUUAACCGAAAAGUUUGGAGAAAAGAAGGAUGGCGCCGAAUUCGGUGAACUAUUUUUCGGUGGGAAAAGGGAAAAUGGGAAGGCACCGGCAUAAUAGUGGUUGCCGGAUUUGGUGUUUUCUGGUGAGAUCUGAGCACGGCUGGCAGUGGUUUUGCCUCUUGGAAUGAAGCAGCGACAGGGAAAGGGAAAGGGGGAGACGCCGGCGGCGCUGGGUUUAGCCGGCUGGUUUCCUGCGUAAUGGUGGUCGCUGGAUCUGAUUCGACGACUGUUUCAAAGGGUUUUUUUCGGGGAAUUACCACCGAAACCGACCAUUGGGUCGGAUUUUGAUGGAUUUUUCAGUGAUGAAGGGUAAUUUUAAUCGCUGUUUUUAACGUUUUCUGGCAAUAACUUUGCUAGAAAAUUAUACAGCUUUCAACGAAACUUACCCGUCUAAAAAUUUCUUUUCCGACUAAUUUUCUUCCAUAUUCUUACUGUGUAUGGGUGUGUUCUGUGAUUUGUGAGUACACAAUGAGUGUGCAGUGUGUGUAGAAGAUGAGUACAUGCUUAUGUCAUGACUGGAAAUUGAAGAACAAUGAUCUGAUAUAUAAACAUGGGUACGAAUAAUUUUUUUUUAUUUUUAUUUUUUGUGACAGUAUGUGUAAAAUAUGUUUUGAAGUAAAUGUGAAAAUUCUAUGCGUGGAUUGCAUAUUUUUCUUUAUUUUUUCACUGAUUUUACAAUUCCUCCUUUCUAAUGCAUCUUAUAAUGUAAGAGAGCAUUUUUUGAAAAAAUGUUUAUAUAUUUUCAUUUACUAUUUUCGGAAGUAAAAUUAUAUCAUCAUACAUUUUUGCUACAAGAUAUCAUGCAUAAAAUCAUACCAUUAUGUAUAUUUAUACACAAAUAGCAUCUUGAAUACUUUAUUUAUACUUUGAUUCCUAAUAAAAUUUAUACAAUAAAUAACAUAGAAUUGAAAUGAAACCUGAGUGAUGAAUUAAGCAGAAGACUCGAAUAUUAUCGCUUGAAACUCGAACGAAAGUCCAAUUCAACUUCACUAUUCUCACUUUUUUUUUUUUACUUUUUUCAAUGUCUGAUCUUUCUCUGGUAUUUUUUGUAUCUGAUAGUAAUGAUAGUAUCCAUCCUUUUUGGGUAGAUGAGUGUCCUUAAAUACAUGAAUUUGGGGGAACAAUUUCUUUUUGUGGGGGGGAGUAGUUUAUCAACAGAUAAGGGGGAGGGGAUAUUUUAAAUUUUGAAAUAUAAUAAUAAUUAAUUUUUCAUUUUCUUUCUUUUUAAAUAUAAGACAAUAAUAAUAAAAUAAUAAAUAUAAUAAAUAUAGUAAUAACUAAUUAAAUUAUGUUUAUGAGAAAUACAAUAAAAUUUAUAAAUAUUCAAAAUAAA
rnacentral:lncRNA from 1 species